rnacentral:rRNA from 1 species
UACGUAGGUGGCAAGCGUUGUCCGGAUUUACUGGGCGUAAAGGGAGCGUAGGCGGACUCUUAAGUGAGAUGUGAAAUACCCGGGCUCAACUUGGGUGCUGCAUUUCAAACUGGAAGUCUAGAGUGCAGGAGAGGAGAAUGGAAUUCCUAGUGUAGCGGUGAAAUGCGUAGAGAUUAGGAAGAACACCAGUGGCGAAGGCGAUUCUCUGGACUGUAACUGACGCUGAGGCUCGAAAGCGUGGGGAGCAAACAGGAUUAGAUA